UCUAAGGUUUCUAUUACCUUAGGAUCUCACUCAAGUCCACUGGCUUCUAAGGUCUCUAUUACCUUAGCCCAAGCCUCUAUCUCUAGCUCAUAAGGGUUCCACUACCUUAUCGAAGCUAACCACCCGACUCGGCUUCGAGUCAAUCAUCCGUGGAUAGUCCGCGAACUGGCUGCUCAACAGCCUACCGCUCUCCAUGACUUAGCCUCUUAGCGGCGAAAUCGUCGCACACGCUGAACCCGGCUCAAGUCCCUUGACAUAGCCAUUCUGGCGGCGAACACGUUGCACUUACCCAGCGAGGACUCAAGACAUGACCUAUCCAUUUGGCGGCGAACUAAUCGCACUUCACCCAACAAUGGUUUCAGUCACCACUCAGCCACCUGGCGGCACCCGUAUCAUACUUACCCAGCAAUGGUUUCAGUCAAUCCCGGCGGUCUGAUCCACAAUCGGCUUAACCAUCCGGUGGCGAAAUUGUCGCACACGCCACGAUAAUGGUUCAAGCCCCGGGCGGUGAUCUCUGCGCGCUCACCCCCAAUCCAUCCUUGGUAUCAAUCUCGGCGGCGAAAUCGUCGCACACGCCCUAGCCUUGAUACCAAGGUCAUCACAGGUCCUGGGAUUUCGAAAUCUACUUUUCACAGGUCGAGGGUCCAUAACCAACCCUAUGCUGUCGACCUAGAACAUCAUAGUGGCUAAUACCACUAUACUCAACAACCUAGGUUUAACUUCAUUCUAGGUUUAUCACAUACAUAACUUAGGUAAAACCGCUAGGUUCUAUCUCAUCUCUGCCUUGAUGUCAACCUCUAGGUUCACUUGUUCGACCUAUGUUUACUAACACUAGGUUCGAUGCCACACACCUAGAUUUGUUCGACUCUAGGUUCAAGUACGACCUAUGUAUUUAAACACUAGGUUAGGUGCUACUCGAUCUACUUGACAUCCUAAUUGUCUAAUCGAGUAUCAUAUAGCUCUUAUGUCAAUCAACUCUAUUCACUCUAGAGUUAUCACCUAGUUCACAUGCAUAUCUACCUAGCAUAUUCUCACAAUGCUAAUCAUGCAUUCUAUGAUCUCUAUAUCAUUUUAUAUGCAUCUACUUAGCAUCUUAUACAUGCAUCAUCUAUGUCAUUUUGUUAUCAUGCAUCAAUGUGAAUUUGUAUGUUUCUUAGACAUAAAGGCUGACCUAGUCGCUUCGGUAAGCACAACCCACCUUAGCUAGCUUUCAGAUUGCUCGUCGACACUUGAAAUCGGCCUCCCGCGGCACUCGGCACCCGAUUUGGCCCGACCUCGCAGUUGCGCUCCAACAGCGCGUCACUUCGCAGUUUAGAGAGCUAAAGGUCUUCGCCUCGCCGUUACGGUGCUCGAGACCCAAUCUCACGAUUUAUGGAUGCCGCCUCAGCCCUCUUGGUCAAAACGAAGCUCGCUCGGCCUUACUUUGCUGAUAUCUUUUCACCCGCUCGACGAAUGCUCAAUCCGUCGCUUUCCACACAUUUAGACACCUAACAAUUAGGUUUACAGAGGGUCAAAUGAGAUCAAACCCUCAUAAAUGCCAAAACUCCAUUUUGAAUGCCCUAGAAGCUACUAUAGCCAAAUCCACCAAAUCGAUUAAUGAUUUAGGCACAAUACAUCUCAAUAGCAUGCUACGGUCCCAAAUAAUCCAUCUUUAGAGAUUAAAAACCCAUCUCUAAAGAUCUACCAUGAGAGAGCUUAGAAGCUUUCCUCUCUAAAGAGCUCCAAGGUGAGGAGAGGAAGAGAAGAAGAUGGAGAUGAUCUCCUCCAAGCUCUACUCCUUCUCCUUCUUCUCCUUCCCUUCUCUUUUUCUUCAUCUUCUCUUCUCUUCUCUUUUCCUUUCUUUCUUCUCUUUUCUCCUUCACGUACAGAGAGAGAGGGAAAGGGGUGAGGGGAAGUGAGGGCGUGAGAGAAAGAGAGAGAGAGACCUCUCUUAACCCCUCUCAUGGCCAUUUUGCACAUAAACCCCUCAACUUUCCACCCUUCACACUGCCCUCACUGGGCAAAACCCACGCGGAGGGACCAGUCUCCCCGACAUGGGACCGGUCCUAGAGGACCUUCCCAUUUUCCACGCGUUCGGGAACCGGUCUCUCCCUGAGAGACCGGUCCCCGAGAGCUUGUCUCGCGGGACUUAGCCAAUUUUUGGCCAUUCUCGCUGGUAUCACCUGCGGGGACUGGUCCCUCCCUGCCAGGGACCGGUUGCAUCAGCAACCCCACAACCCUCAGCCGAUGGGACCGGUCUCUCCUGCCAGAGACCGGUCCCCGAGAGCAAAUCUGCUAAAGAUGCAGAUUCUGCAUCUUUGCUAUCGCGGACUCCAUUCCAAUACACUUUUUGGGUUUCGUGCAUCCUUAACUUCUCCGAAGAGUACACACUCGACCAUUAGUUGAUUCUGGAAGAAGUGCAACUCUCAGAUUUUGAGAAUUCACUUUGUUACAUUCUUCCCUCCUUAAAAAGAGUUUCGUCCUCGAAACUCACUCAUUCAUAACUCCAAUUCACCCCUCAAUUCAACUCAUUACUUAAUCGAGGGUUCCAAUGCACUUUCGCACGCCGGAGUGGCCUUUUCCUCAUCGGAAUCAUCCAAAGGCCCACUACGGAAGAUGUGAGACCAAAUUCACUCACAUUCGCCAAAGAUAACCUCGAAAGUGCAUUAUGGCUUCACGAGCCUCGGUGGUAGUGCAAGUCAAUAUUCAUGACUUCACACACUCUAGCACCACCCGCUGUUAAGCUUAAGAAGGAUUCAACCCCUCACAGUUCUAUUAAACAUCACCAUCCCUCGAGAUCAGGACUACCCUUUGUCCUUGUGGUGUGGAUCUAGCAAGAUCGCAUCAACUAGACGAGCGAUCCACCACCAUAACACUAUGUGCACGGGUAGACCCUCUCGAAUUACUCAAGCAUUCACAAAGUGGCACUCCACUACUUCGGCUAUUCGAGAGCUCGAUACAACUCCUCUUCGUAUUUCUCGUCACUUCAGGGAACACACUCCGAUCUGAUCACCGGCAUUGCCUAGAAGCAAUAUCAUUGCUGUCUCGACCCAAUCGCGAGUGCUUCAAUCCCAAUCGAAUCUCUGCUCUCUCACGAGAUUGGUACACUCCCACACAUCUCUGAUUUCAAUCAUCUUGAGAGCAUCAUUCUCAAACUCCAAUCCUCGCGUGGCUAUCCAUUAUUCAAGUGUCUCCUAGAGACCACUUUACUUUCUCUCUAUCCUUGAUACAGUAAGCCACGAUCAGCUUCCAUUCGCUCUUGCAACGAAUUUAUACGAACCCGCCACCCGGGGUUCAGGCCAAAACUCACUAACAGAGUUGUCGGCCGCACCGACCGUCUGUUUGCAUAGGUGGACCAAGGGCCACCAAUCCUACGCAGGUCUACUGCCUAGACUCGUCUAAACGAUGCCUAGCGUCUCUCGCUCGCAAGCGCAGACCCAAUCAUCAUCGGGCGACAUUCUCAUUGGAGAAUUCACACACACUCCAACCAGGAGCAACCAAGACCCCAAACCACGUCAAGUCCUCGGGUUGGGUCACUACACACCCUGUGUGUCAUCAAUCUCAUGAUCUAACACGUGGCAUUCCACGUACUCGGGUCCAAGCUCGGACUACCAUCCUGACCAACAUUCUGCCCUACUUAUAGGUACCGGGCCGCUGUCUCUCACAGCUGACUGCGCCUGCCCGAUGGGCCCAGGCUCCACAGUCCACAGAUAGUCCAGGCACAGGUCGUCCCCAAGCGCUACCCACCGUCGUCGUCCUACACGACAUGCUCUACAGAGCUACACACUCUAUCGGCUCCUAGGCACCUAGUGCGAGCCACCAGCCCCCACGAGUGAUCCACGGCCCACUUCACACUUAGCAAUGCUACAGUGCUACUGCCAACUCACUCAUCAUCGGCUGAAUCAAGUCCGCACUCUACGGGUAACCAUGCUCGAGUGCUCUCUAUGCCAACAUCUAAUAUUAGGCGACUUGCCUAAGCGCACUAGCCACGUAUGCACAACUCGUUCACCUCAAUUCGAGGUACUACUAGGCCCACAGGCCAAACUCGGCACUAAUCAACCAAUUUCGUAACAGUGGUUCACCUUUACUGUUCGAUCCACCGAAUCCGUGUCCGAGAUACUCUUGGAAUAUUCGGGUAUCCCCAAACAUCAAGGCUCAACUCUCACAAUCUCUUAUCCAUUGCUUCGAGAGUCAUUUACUAGGUCACGUUCGCCACGAGUCCUAUUUCCUAUUCGAGAAUCAUCACUAGCAUUUGCUAGAAUUACUUGGCUCCCUACCUACCCCAGCAGGUGCUAUACUCUCACAAUGCAAGCAUGCUCGGGUGUCCACCUACCCGACCACUCGGUUCCUACUAUGCAACGCAAUAAUAGUAGCAACUGACCAAUGACGAAUGCAUGCCAUGCACCAACUUGAGAUCAUGCAAAAGUAUAUGCUUGCUCAAUUAACUCAUACAUGCCAUGACGUCGUCAGCAACGGCAGGCCCCGCAACUCGGGUCGCUUAUCCAUGGCCACUAGGCGCUCGCCGUGAACCCUCCGGUUGCAUCGUUCUCAACGGCCGCUCCCCGACCAUGCCGCAGGUGGCACACCUGCAGGCCGUCCCGGAGAGGAAUAGGCCGUCGUCAGUGUCAAGGCCUGGCUAUCACCUUGCGGACACGCGUCCCGCAUAUGGCCCGGCAGCCCACACUUGAAGCACUUGCCCUCUCGCUGCUCACACUGCUGUGGGUGAUAAGGGUCCCCACAAAUCACACAUCUCGCCGAGAACCGAAUGCGGUAUGUCCCCGGAGCUUGAGAUCGAGAGCGCGAACCCGAUGAGGUCUGUUGGGAAGUUGACUGACCAGCAGAUCCACUCGUUGGUCGUUCUUUUCCUUUCUCCUCGUAAUAGGCCUCACGCCUCUCCCGCAGAGAUGCCUCGCCUUGUUCUAUCCACAAGGCCCGAUCUAGGACUUCGGCGAAAGUCUGCAACUUCAGUAACAGCACAGGCUUGUAAAGGUCUGACCGAAGUCCUCGCACAAAGCAGUCGGCCUUAUCCUUGUCAUCCCGCACCACGUUCGAGAUACAAUGCACGUGUAAUACACUGAACUUUUGCAAACUGCGGANAGUCCACGCACAAAGCAGUCGGCCUUAUCCUUGUUAUCCCGUACUACGUCCGGGAUACAAUGCACGAUACGGGAGAACUCCCGCUCAUAAUGCCUGGUCGAGCGAUCUCCUUGCCGCAGCUUCCGAAAUCUUUCCUAAAGCUUCCGCUUCUCACUGUCGGGGAAAUAAGCAGAGAAUAACAAACCCCGAAACUCUUCCCAAGUCAUAGGAGGGAAACUAGGCGAUCGAUCUCGCUUGACGCCUUUCCACCACACCUUCGUCGAUUGUUUCAGAUAGUGCACGGCUAGGUUCACCUUAUCUAGCUCCAACGUGUACAGAUCCUCGAAGAGUGUUUCCAUGGAAUUGAUCCACAUCUCAACGACCCACGGAUCUGCAUCCUCUCCAUCAAAGGUAGGCGGAUCAAACUUCUUGAAAGCCAUGAGGGCAGCCAAAGCUCGCUCUCUCUUCGCCACUACCUCUAGACUAACAGAAGUCGGGUCGCCCGACCCCGACGGAAACAUCUCCGCCUCAACUCCCGGCCGUUCUCGACGAGCCGCAGCUGGUGUUGUCACCAGCCAGUCCACGGUUUCCUAGAGUCGUUUCAUUCGCUCCUCCUGGCGCAUGGCAGCCUCUUGUUGCCGUUGCACCACAUCAGCCUGUUGCCUCACCACUCCCACGAGUGUGGCCAACUGAUAACGAAGCUCUGCGCCUUCUCUCGCGUCGACUUGCUCAGGAACACCACUUGUCCCCUCCCACGCCGAUCUGGACGAAGAUCGCCUACGCGGUGCCAUCGUUUUCUGAAACAGGACAACUCGAUCAGCUCUCGACCAUCUGGGUCGAACACGAGACCACUAACACCGACUUAAAAGUCAAUCUGGCGAAGGUCACGCAAGGACGUCUAUUCUGUCACUCGGCUUCAUGUUGUGCGCGCCCAACAUGAACACUCUUGGUCGAGAAUAAACCGUACCUUGAGUCUACCUCUAAUAUCCGUCUUAGAGGUUCCGACACAACCCAAUCCAUUAACCUUUCGCCACGAAUCGCAAGUCCUAAUCUCUCACGAGCCUUAUUCUCCUAUGGUUUCACUAUCCUAGGGUCUCCUAGGCCUGUCUAAAUUAUUUUUCCAUUCUCUACUUUAUGCUCUGAUACCACUUUAUCUGUCACGUGCCGUAACUGCCCGCCUAUUUGGCCGGGUCGCGGCGCCGCAAACAGACCGCCGAACGGACAGAGUUUCCUCUAUACGUCCUAGGCGUCGCAAUCAAAACAGUGAACGAGUGUUCCAAUUAACCAAGAACUGAUAUCAAUCAAGAUUGCAUAAAGAAAUAUCAAUAACAUAAAACUAACUGGUAUUACAAGCAUUCAUUUCAUGCACUUUAUACAUCACGUUUUUCUUUUACAUUUGCUUAACUUCUAAAUACAAUCACAUUAUUACAUUUAAUACAAGUUGGUUGUUGCCAUUCCAUUCUAACCACUAGGCCCUGCUGACUCGGGGUACUGCUAGCUCUGGUCUCUGGGGUAGGGCGCUAUCUACGGAGCUAAGCCCUUUCCUCGCGCCGCCACGCCGCUCACGUGCGAACCUGUAACACCCCAAAACAGCGUGGGGUCAGAACCAACUCCAUGGUUUCCAGUGGGUACGGCCACCCAAGGAAAAAGCUCGACCAAUAGGUCCGAGGAGGCACUGCAACAUGUUAGUUCAACAAUAUACAAUAGAUAUAUAUAUUCAAAUUGAAAUACAUGCCAUGCCUCACAAUAUGCGAUAUGAAAAUCAUGCAACUCUAUGCAACAACUAGUAGAUCAAUUGAUUCUACACUUUACCUGGCUACUCUUAGCUCAUAUCAUUCACUCUAAGGUUUCUAUUACCUUAGGAUCUCACUCAAGUCCACUGGCUUCUAAGGUCUCUAUUACCUUAGCCCAAGCCUCUAUCUCUAGCUCAUAAGGGUUCCACUACCUUAUCGAAGCUAACCACCCGACUCGGCUUCGAGUCAAUCAUCCGCGGAUAGUUCGAGCACUGGCUGCUCAACAGCCUACCGCUCUCCGUGACUUAGCCUCUUAGCGGCGAAAUCGUCGCACACGCUGAACCCGGCUCAAGUCCCUUGACAUAGCCAUUCUGGCGGCGAACACGUUGCACUUACCCAGCGAGGACUUAAGACAUGACCUAUCCAUCUGGCAGUGAACUAAUCGCACCUCACCCAACAAUGGUUUCAGUCACGACUCAGCCACCUGGCGGCACCUGUAUCGUACUUACCCAGCAAUGGUUUCAGUCAAUCCCGGCGGUCUGAUCCACAAUCAGCUUAACCAUCUGGCGGCGAAAUCGUCGCACAUGCCACGGCAAUGGUUCAAGCCCCGGGCAGUGAUCUCUGUGUACUCACCCCCAAUCCAUCCUUGGUAUCAACCUCGGCGGCGAAAUCGGCGCACACGCCCUAGCCUUG
rnacentral:lncRNA from 1 species